rnacentral:rRNA from 1 species
GAUUGGAGCGGCCGAUGUCAGAUUAUCUAUUUGGUGGGGUAAAGGCCUACCAAGGCGACGAUCCGUAGCGGGUCUGAGAGGAUGAUCCGCCACACUGGGACUGAGACACGGCCCAGACUCCUACGGGAGGCAGCAGUGGGGAAUUUUGGACAAUGGGGGCAACCCUGAUCCAGCCAUGCCGCGUGAGUGAAAAAGGCCUUCGGGUUGUAAAGCUCUUUCUCACGGAAAGAAAACGC